CCAAACUUGGUCAUUUAGAGGAAGUAAAAGUCGUAACAAGGUUUCCGUAGGUGAACCUGCGGAAGGAUCAUCACUGAGAUCGGGGCGUGCGGCAGCAGGAGUGCGUAGAGGUGUGGUGUUACCACACACUGCGCUCUAUCUGCUUUGCUGCGCCCCCAACCAAUCUUGUGUGCACUGUUUUUAUCUCUUCCACAAAGUCAAGGAGACAUUAUUACCCCCGCGACACGCGUGGCAGCCUGUGUUGUGUGUUGGCAAGUAGCGCGUAUGCGCGCCGCUUGCCAACCACACACGCGCGCCAUGUCGUGUUGUGGCGCGCGGGUGUGGUGUUCUUUCUUGUUCUAUGUGUGUAAUCUCUUGUGUAAAUUACUGUCUAACGUUAUAUACAUAACUAACAUGAACACAACUUUCAACAAUGGAUCUCUUGGCUCUCGCAUCGAUGAAGAACGCAGC
rnacentral:misc_RNA from 1 species